ACGCUGGCGGCAGGCCUAACACAUGCAAGUCGAGCGGCAGCGACUUAACUGAACCUUCGGGGAACGUUAAGGGCGGCGAGCGGCGGACGGGUGAGUAAUGCCUGGGAAUAUGCCCUGAUGUGGGGGAUAACUAUUGGAAACGAUAGCUAAUACCGCAUAAUCUCUUCGGAGCAAAGAGGGGGACCUUCGGGCCUCUCGCGUCAGGAUUAGCCCAGGUGGGAUUAGCUUGUUGGUGAGGUAAUGGCUCACCAAGGCAACGAUCCCUAGCUGGUCUGAGAGGAGUGAUCAGCCACACUGGAACUGAGACACGGUCCAGACUCCUACGGGAGGCAGCAGUGGGGAAUAUUGCACAAUGGGGGAAACCCUGAUGCAGCCAUGCCGCGUGUGUGAAGAAGGCCUUCGGGUUGUAAAGCACUUUCAGUAGGGAGGAAGGUAGUGUAGUUAACACCUGCACUAUUUGACGUUACCUACAGAAGAAGCACCGGCUAACUCCGUGCCAGCAGCCGCGGUAU
rnacentral:rRNA from 1 species